rnacentral:rRNA from 1 species
AGCUCCAAUAGCGUAUAUUAAAGUUGUUGCAGUUAAAAAGCUCGUAGUUGAACUUGUGGCAAACAUUGGGUACCCUGCCCUAUUGGGUUUUGGUGUUGUUCAGUGUUGCCAUCAUUGAAUGGAACCUGUGUGGCAUUAGGUUGUCGUGUAGGGGACAUUCAUCGUUUACUGUGAAAAAAUUAGAGUGUUCAAAGCAGGUUUAUGCCGAUGAAUAUAUUAGCAUGGAAUAAUAAGAUAGGACCUAGGUACUAUUUUGUUGGUUUGUGUGCCAAGGUAAUGAUUAAUAGGGAUAGUUGGGGGUAUUUGUAUUCCAUUGUCAGAGGUGAAAUUCUUGGAUUUUUGGAAGACAAGCUACUGCGAAAGCAUUUACCAAGGAUGUUUUCAUUAAUCAAGAACGAAA